AUUGAACGCUGGCGGCAGGCCUAAUACAUGCAAAGUCGAACGGUAACAUAAAGAAGCUUGCUUCUUUGAUGACGAGUGGCGGACGGGUGAGUAAUAUUUGGGAAACUACCUGAUAGAGGGGGACAACAGUUGGAAACGACUGCUAAUACCGCAUACAGCCUCAGGGUGAAAGAAGCGAUUCGCUAUCAGAUGUGCCCAAACGGGAUUAGCUAGUAGGUGAGGUAAAGGCUCACCUAGGCGACGAUCUCUAGCUGGUCUGAGAGGAUGAUCAGCCACAUUGGGACUGAGACACGGCCCAGACUCCUACGGGAGGCAGCAGUGAGGGAUAUUGGGCAAUGGGGGAAACCCUGACCCAGCAACGCCGCGUGAAGGAUGAAGGUUUUCGGAUUGUAAACUUCUUUUAUUAAGGACGAAUAAUGACGGUACUUAAUGAAUAAGCUCCGGCUAACUACGUG
rnacentral:rRNA from 1 species